rnacentral:rRNA from 1 species
AGCGAACGCUGGCGGCAGGCCUAACACAUGCAAGUCGAACGAACUCUUCGGAGUUAGUGGCGGACGGGUGAGUAACACGUGGGAACGUGCCUUUAGGUUCGGAAUAACUCAGGGAAACUUGUGCUAAUACCGAAUGUGCCCUUCGGGGGAAAGAUUUAUCGCCUUUAGAGCGGCCCGCGUCUGAUUAGCUAGUUGGUGAGGUAAAGGCUCACCAAGGCGACGAUCAGUAGCUGGUCUGAGAGGAUGAUCAGCCACAUUGGGACUGAGACACGGCCCAAACUCCUACGGGAGGCAGCAGUGGGGAAUCUUGCGCAAUGGGCGAAAGCCUGACGCAGCCAUGCCGCGUGAAUGAUGAAGGUCUUAGGAUUGUAAAAUUCUUUCACCGGGGUACGAUAAUGACGGUACCCGGAGAAGAAGCCCCGGCUAACUUCGUGCCAGCAGCCGCGGUAAU